UACGUAGGGUGCAAGCGUUGUCCGGAAUUACUGGGCGUAAAGCGCGCGUAGGCGGCUUUGUAAGUUAGAGGUGAAAGCCCGGGGCUCAACCCCGGAACUGCCUUUAAGACUGCAUCGCUUGAAUCCGGGAGAGGUGAGUGGAAUUCCGAGUGUAGAGGUGAAAUUCGUAGAUAUUCGGAAGAACACCAGUGGCGAAGGCGGCUCACUGGACCGGUAUUGACGCUGAUGUGCGAAAGCGUGGGGAGCAAACAGG
rnacentral:rRNA from 1 species